CCCCCAGGACUUUUUCCAUCUUGAAGGAAGAGAAUUCCUGGGAAAUACAAAGGAAUGAGUCUCUAAUCUCCAACAGUGGGAAUGCCAAGGACCUUGGCCCAGCAGGGGCAGAAGGGACACAUGUUAUAGGAAGAAGGUGGGCCAGGAAGCCCUGGUCAGCUGCAGGUGCCCAGGGCACCUGAGUCAAGUUCUCCUCUGCUCCUGGAGGCUCUUGUGUGCUAGCUAAUUCCUUCCCCAAACAUCUGCUUGCUGUCAGGCCGGCAGGGCAGACCCUUUAAAGGAGCACUGCCCUGGAAGACCUGGGACAGAUCAUUAACAUCACUAUGUGGAGCCAACAGAGAAGCAUGGAAUUUGAUCUUAUGUCAGUUCUCUGAGACUCCACCAUAAUUGAAGGCUGGGAUUAAGCUGCCGGGACAGUGGAAGCAGUGAGGUGGAUGAACUGUUUUCAACUGAGUUUGAUCCCCAAUCAUGAAAUGUAACUGAGUCCUAGGUUAGGUCCAAACCAGCUGGGACAUGACCCAAAAUCACUCACAGAGCAGACCUGCUUCAAGAUCCAGGAACGAAGGAAAUAUCUUCUGCAGAGUAGGAAACAAAUUGGAUAUCCAUCCUCCCUCCCCACAAUUUCGGGAGCAUUUCAUUUCUGCAGAAGACUGGACAGAUUUUGAUGUUACCACAUAAUAAAUGAAUCUAUCACACAGAUCAUCAGACUGGAUAGAAAUGGAUCGGUAUUUCACGUGAAGCUUCUCAUAUUCCAUCAAAAUAGGUGAACAGAUUAAGAAAUUUCAGUUGUGGGAAAAGAAAAACUGUUACAAUGUUUUUAAUUUAAAAACUGUAUUUUUCAAACAUGA